rnacentral:rRNA from 1 species
UGAGGAAUAUUGGUCAAUGGACGCAAGUCUGAACCAGCCAUGCCGCGUGAAGGAUGAAGGCCUUCUGGGUUGUAAACUUCUUUUAUGAGGGAAGAAAACUAUGGUUUCUACUAUAGCCGACGGUACCUUAGGAAUAAGCACCGGCUAACUCCGUGCCAGCAGCCGCGGUAAUACGGAGGGUGCAAGCGUUAUCCGGAUUUACUGGGUUUAAAGGGUGUGUAGGCGGGCGCAUAAGUCAGCGGUGAAAUCUCCGGGCUCAACCCGGAAACUGCCAUUGAUACUAUGCGUCUUGAAUUCUGUUGAGGAGGGCGGAAUAUGUCAUGUAGCGGUGAAAUGCAUAGAUAUGACAUAGAACACCGAUAGCGAAGGCAGCUCUCAAAGCAGACAUUGACGCUGAGGCACGAAAGCGUGGGGAUCAAACAGG